GAGCAGACAGAGCGGCACGGUUGGAGGACGCCGCCCUGAGGGCUGCACUGGGGCAGAAACAUCCCGCACACCAGCGUCCGCAAGGGCUCGAAACAAGCCAGCUCCAUCAGCACCUGCACAACAAAAAAGAGAGUACAAAGAAAGGCUUAUUUUUCCUCUUCUUUGGCAAGUCACUACAAACGUUAUCUCUGUUCGCCUCGUCUGAUUGGUCCUGGCAGUUUGGAUGACCGUCACACACAGACACAGGCAGCAGACAGCGACCACCGUCACACAUGAACUCUUCUCUGGAGCAGCUCUCUGAGGAAACACACCGCAGAAAACAUGCACGGAUGCACAUGAAUUCAAAUGGAUAGGAGUGAAUGUAUUUAUUUGGAUGCAGACACAUGCACACUACUGACUGUGUCCAGGCAGUAUGGCCCUGUACUGCGCCGUGAAGCCGCUGCCUGUGAUGCUGCCAUCAGAGCGGAAGGUGACCCACACCGCGCUGCUGUUUGUGUUGACUGUUGGCGGUGCUACGUUACCACAGAACCUGUAGGAGAAAAAGAGACAUCUGUUCAUUAUCCGUGACUUUUCUUUGAUUAAUUCUCUCCACUCCUCUGAGCUCUGCACUGUUCUGUUUUAAAUUCUCAAAAGGAUUCACGAGAAAGACACUUUUUUAUUAAAACCACAAAU